CAGAUUUUGUCGUUAUAUUCUUUUUGAUUUUCUAAGAAUAACAAAAUUGCCAUUAAUAAUCUCUUUUUAUCCAUUUCUAUUUUGCUUUUUUUAAUAAAUAAACAAAUUUCACAAUCAGCUGUCGAAAUUCACAAGUCUGCCGUCUGUCACCAUAAAAUUUCAAUUCGCAUUUGCGUUGCUUAAGGCGCUUUAAUUUUGCUCGUCUGUCAGGGCUAUAAGAUACAAUACUAAAUCUAUCAAAUUACUUGCUCUUAAUAUUGACAUAAUUUGUGCAUUUCAUUGAAACUGUUUGAUAUGGGUACCUGAGUGACUCCCAAAGAUUCUGUGGGGAUUUCUUAUACUAUGUUCGGAUCGACAUUGGAAACAUUUUAAAAACACAUUUGUAUGUUGUGGAAUCUAAUAGCCCUGACAGACGAGCAAAAUUAAAGCGCCUUAAGCAACGCAAAUGCGAAUUGAAAUUUUAUGGUGACAGACGGCAGACUUGUGAAUUUCGACAGCUGAUUGUGAAAUUUGUUUAUUUAUUAAAAAAGCAAAAUAGAAAUGGAUAAAAAGAGAUUAUUAAUGGCAAUUUUGUUAUUCUUAGAAAAUCAAAAAGAAUAUAACGACAAAAUCUGUUUAUUACUAAAUCAGUUAAAACAAAAUAGAGUGAAAGUAAAAGCAAUUCUUGAUUGUAACGCAAGCUUAAGAACUGGGAUUGCAAUCGCUCAGCCACACAUACGAAAUGUUUGGAAAUUCUACCGAAGUGGUAAAUUUUGGGAGCACGAUAUUCCUGCAAUGGAUGAAGCAAGGUUUAAGGAAAACUUUCGCGUAGACAGAAGCACUUUCCAAAAAUUGUGCGAAAAAGUAAAAAAUAUCGGUAAAAUGGAUAGCAACAUGCGGCGCUGUAUCCCACUUGAAAAAAUAGUAGCUAUUGCACUUUUUUCAUUGGGUUCGGCAGCAGAAUAUAGAUCCGUUGCUAGUUUGUUUGGCAUUGGGCGUGCAGUUUGCGACAGUCUUGCGGACUGCAUUGAUGCAUAUCCCCCACAUCCACAAGAACUAAAAAGAGAUGUCGAAGGGUUCAAAAUGAUGGGAUUUCCACAAUGUUUUGGUGCUGUAGAUGGUUGCCACAUCGAAGUUCAGCCCAAAAAAGACGAAGCCGUAGAUUAGUAUAACUAUAAAGGAUGGUAUUCAGUCAUUUU